rnacentral:misc_RNA from 1 species
UUAAAAAAAAUGGAAUUUUGAUAUUGGAAUGUGGUUAAACUUUGUCUGGUGCCUAAUUUAUUGUUAGGUUUGGCGGACAAGGACUAGUCAAUGUUUGCGCCAUCUCAAACAUGCGCAUUCUCAAGGAGUCACUAGUGUUGUCUUCUCUCAUGAUGGAAGCCAGUUGCUAAAAUACAUGGCCUAAAAUCUGGGAAGUUAAAAGAAUUCCGUGGCCAUACAUCCUACGUGAA